UGGGGAAUUGUUCGCAAUGGGCGCAAGCCUGACGACGCAACGCCGCGUGGAGGACGAAGAUCUUCGGGUCGUAAACUCCUUUCGAUCGGGACGAAUUCCCCGGGGGUGAACAAUCUCUGGGGUUGACGGUACCGGGAGAAGAAGCCCCGGCUAACUCCGUGCCAGCAGCCGCGGUAAUACGGGGGGGGCAAGCGUUGUUCGGAAUUACUGGGCGUAAAGGGCUCGUAGGCGGCCAACGAAGUCAGACGUGAAAUCCCUCGGCUCAACCGGGGAACUGCGUCUGAUACUGGAUGGCUUGAAUCCGGAAGAGGGAUGCGGAAUUCCAGGUGUAGCGGUGAAAUGCGUAGAUAUCUGGAGGAACACCGGUGGCGAAGGCGGCAUCCUGGGUCGGCAUUGACGCUGAGGAGCGAAAGCCAGGGGAGCAAA
rnacentral:rRNA from 1 species